GGCGGGGAAGAGCAGCCCGGUCGCUCGCCUGGCUCAUAACCAGGAGGUCAGCGGUUCAAAUCCGCUCCCCGCAACCA
rnacentral:tRNA from 1 species